rnacentral:lncRNA from 1 species
CUGCUUCUAUUUACUUGUCCUUCAGUGACAGAGUCCACAAGUUCCUCUUGACAGUGAUACUUGUUGCUCUACAAUCUUUGUUUCUAGGUGCAAGAUGUACAAAUAAAGAAAAUUCUUGCAUCCAGAGAGAAGUCUCUGAAGGAAAUGGACAGUCUAAGAGAAAUACUAGAACAGCAUCCUCUUCACUUUUCUUUCCACGAUGGGAAAAUUCUAAAGCUCUGUCCUGUAAGGAGUGAGCAGACUUGGGCACUGAACAUCAAGCGAGGCAUUCUUAGUGUCCUGCAGACAUCGCAAGCAUCCACUGCUGGUGGAGUCAUUGAAGAGAUGGAUAUUCUGGGAAUAUGCCCAACCCGGUAUCAGCGAAAAGGUCCUGUUCUUGUGAAGACCCGGGACUUAAACCUCUGCUCUCAUCGGUAUUCUGGUUUUACUUCUGUGCAGUCUGUUGCUCUUCCUCAUAUGUCGGUAAGCGUUGGGGAAUGAUGCUGAUGCUUGCAUGGGUCCUUUUAGUUUCUUUGAAGGGUCUAAGUACCAGGUUUG